UAGGCCUUUUAGGAAGCAUGGAGUUGUU
rnacentral:piRNA from 1 species